AUGAGGAGCAACGUGGAGAGCUUCCUCUGCAACGUCCUUCAUCACGGUGACGGCCGCAGCGGGCGGCUCACCCCGGGCGGCAUGCUCUACCUGCAGCCCUGGUCUAACCUGCAGGACGUCACGACGGCGAUGUUCGUCCUCAUCACGCACGCCGACCACCUGGCGGCGGCGAGGGCUUCCCUGCAGUGCGGCGGCGUGAGGCUGCCACCGGCGCAGCUCGUCUCGUUCGCACGGUCACAGGUGGACUACAUCCUUGGCAAGAACCCAAUGAAGAUGAGCUACAUGGUUGGGGUUGGAAAGAGGUACCCGUUGCAGCCGCACCACCGCGGCGCGUCGCUGCCAUCCAUUAGGAAAUACCCGGGGAAGAUCUCCUGCGGCAAGGGAGCCGAGUACUUCCACAGGUCUGCGCCCAACUUGAAUGUGAUUGACGGCGCCAUCGUCGGAGGGCCUGACAACAACGACCAUUACGACGAUUCUCGGGGAAAUUACCAGCAAGGCGAGCCAUCGACAUACACUGUCGCGCCCAUCGUCGGAGUUAUUCCUAGGCUUCUGCAUAACUGA
rnacentral:rRNA from 1 species